CCUUUAGCUAGGACACUGCAUUACUCCGCAGCAAAGCUUUCAUAUUUUUACCGUUUCAGCAAAAUUCGAAGGUCAUGCUAACUAACCUUUGGCAUUUACGCCUAAACGAGUCGAUAAUAAGUGCUGAUGACUUCGAGGGCCAUAGCUCAAGAGGUUUGGAGGAUUAUUAGCCGACGGAUUUUUCUGCAUGCAUGCGUAGGCUAAUUUGGUUCAUGACGUCCAACUGAAGGGACUAUUGUAUUUAUUUUACAUAAUAUGGCACAAAAAUUAGAUAGGUAUACUUAUGGGAAAUAGGUACUCCAUUUUUACAAACUUUCGCUUGACCAAUUGUUUUUUUAACUUUAACUACGUCUAACAAGGAAAUGUCUGUUCACAGGAGAGGUUUUAUUUGAAACAUGCAUAUAGGUAUGUUCAUCCGGGGAAUUCUUAAUCCAGCAUCUCAGAACAUUUUGUUUACAUUCUCAGAUCCGCCUUACAGUGCUCCGGCGAGGGUGACAACGGACAACGAGCGUAGACAGUUCGUAAACAAACCGGUCGAUGGCCUAUAUUCUCACGCCCUUGCAGUUGGAGGCGAAAUGAGUCGAAUUUAAUCACGGCGACCUGUUAGUUCGUCCCACAUAAUUCGGUCAACGCGCUCCUGCUGCGAGCUAUUAAAGUGCCACCUGCCGUCGUCAUCGUCGUCGUCGCACAAUGGAUCGAGUAAUUAGAGAGGUCGGACAUGAAAUUUUAUACUAAAACUGCGAAUUUUGACGUUUAUUUCGUCACAUUUUAAAUUUAAAAGGGUGUUUCUGGAAGUAAGUUCCACGAAAAACCAAUGGAACCACUUUUGAGACCUCAAAAUUUUGUAUGACCGGAGUUUUAAGCUUUUAAAGUUUCCGAAUUUUUUCCCACCUCUCCUAUUGACUCGAUCCACUGUGCGUCGUCACAACAGCAAAUUUCCUUUGUCACCGGCUCACCACCUCAACCUGUGAGUUUGGGUUAUUAACCAAACAUCUUGUGCCACUCCAAUAGUUUCAUUCGAUAAAUCUAACACUGCUAGAAAAUUCGGAAAAUGAGUUUUCAUCUCAAUACUCUUCUUUUGGAGGACCCUUCAAUGAGCACCGAGAAAAAAACACAGUUUUUCUACCGUUACAACAGUAGUAAUGUCACACGGGAUUCCACGGUAGUAGAACCGUGGAUUUUGAUUCUUGUAACGAUGAGCACGGUGACAUGACCGUGUUCACCGUAAUAUUACUAUGGGCACAGACAUACUAUAAUGAGCAUGGUUAUGCUACUGUGCUCAUCAAUAAUACAUAUUACCAAAAUCCACGGUUCCACUGCCUUGGAAUCCCGUGCAACAUUAUUACCGUGGUAACCAUCGAAUAACCGUGUUUUUUUUUCUCUGUAAGAGGUUUGUACAAAAUCAACGCAAAACCUUUAAGAAACUGGACUUUCUCGACACCAAUAAUUGCCUAACUUAACAAAUCCUAAAAUCAAGUGAGGCUUUUGCAAACUAAACAGCAUGGUCGAAGUUGGCUAUUACUCACUUCACGUGAUUUUCAGAGCACUGGAAUGACUCUUUUCUUUUUUAAAAAAAAAAAAAAAAAAAAAAAAUCACCCGUCUAUAUUAUUCCGUUUAAUCACCUACCCAAGUAGCAUUGUCAUCUACUUUCUUGGUGGCGCUCAUCAAGAAAAUGUCUACUUUCUAGAUAGAACAAUUUUCUCGAAAGAAAAUAGGUAUAAAGUAGAUCUAGAAAAUAGACACAAGAAAAUAGAAAGAAAAUACAUUUUUUCCUUGCAUUUUCUUAAAAGAAAACAUUAAGAAAUUGGCUAGAAAAUAAUUCUACUUUCAAUAAAUUUUCUAUCUUUUUUCCAGAUGGAAAGUUGACAGAAAGUAGACCUAUGAAAUAGAUCUAUUUUCUUUGGUCAGACUUUUGACUCGCAAUGUUUUUUCUCUCUAUUUUCUAGAUAACUCUUACUUUCUUGGUAUUUUCUAGAAGUUUUCUUAAUAUUUUUUUUCUACGAAAAAAUUCUAUUUUGCUACUUGGGUAACAUGUCUAAAAUACAUCUGCCAUUACUUCAAUGCAAAUUAAUACGAUUGUCUAAGUUGGUUUGACUCACUCCCCACUCUCUUAUAGGAUCAUUAGGUACAUGUUCUUACCGACAUUCGUUUGAUACUUUGUUCAUUUAUUUUUUUUUCUUCUCCUCACUUUUCGGCAUUCUUUCACCUCCUCCCUCUCUUUUAACGCUUUUGUGACGUAAAUCCCUAUACUUGAAAAUGUAAGUACAAAAUGGUGUGGGCAACACACUCCUAUAGACCUCCCCCGCCCCCUUCCCUAAGAGCGUUACAUAAUAUCGUCAUCUUCCG
rnacentral:lncRNA from 1 species